UAAAUGUGACAGGGACAAAGGAGAGAUCAUAGACCUGCAAGACCAGCUUGGGCGGAGUGGGGGGCGGGCAGAGGGCCUUGGCUGAGACCGUGAAGUAGGGGGGCCUGUGGCUUCAGGGGUGCCAUGGACUUUUUCUGUUAUCUGAUGCUAUCAGCCCGAUGUGCUGGGGAAGCAGGACAGCAGAGGCAGUGCUGGCUGCCAGGGAGGUGCAGAUGACUGGAAGACGGGGCCCUGACUGUAAUCCCUAAAGCAAACAGUCAGGGAGAAGCCGCCGACAGGUGCUGGCUGGGCAAGCACUGUGCCACCGUGGGGCCUGGUGCCCUGAGGCUGGCAAGGGAGCGGCCAUGCCCAGAAGAACUGAGGACACAGGAGCUGCUGGGUCCAGGGCUUUGGGUGAGGGUGCCAGUGAAGAGGAGUUCAGACCUCCAGAGGUAGUCUGCAAAGAAAGAAAUGGAGGGCAGGGAGACAGCAUAAUGGUCAUGCACAAAGACUCUCCUGCCUGAGGCCCCAAGGUCCCAGGUCCAGUUCCCUCCCCACCUGCACCACAAACCAGGGCGGAGCAGUGCUCUGGGAAAAAAGAAGAAGAAGAAAGAAGAGGAGCCGUCCCUGCAGUGCUCAGAGAGGGCUUCCUGGGGAAGGUGUGUGAGCCCUGAGCAUCUGCAGGGCAGGUGCCGGGACAUGGAGUGGGGCACUUCUGGAGAGUUCUGCUCCUUUGCAAAGGCCCUCCUGCCUGCCCACUGUGCGGGUGAUGCCAGGAGUGGCCUCGGGGAAGGGGUGGCAGCAGGAGGUGCCUUUCUGUCACAGUGAGUUGAGGGGACUAGACUGGGGACACUGAGUGACGCUCAUCACUAGGGGCCCCAAGCAGGCCUGGGGAGGCUGGAUGCAGGGGUGCCCCAGGUCCCAUGGGGGAGCCCCUCUUAGGCUGAGGACUGGCAGGGUCCCUCUGCUUAAGCACCUGUGUGUCAGGGGCUCCCCCACACCACACCCUGUGGGCUCCCAGUGACCAGAGCGCAGUGGACAGCCAGGCUGGUUGCCUGGCUGUUUCCCGGAUCAGUGCCCAAGGCUUGGAAUGAACAUGGCCCCUUCUUAUCCUGAGCCAGACACUGUUAUCAUCCCCAGCCUACAGAGGAGGACACUGAGGCCUAGGCAGCUUGCUGGGAGUCAGGGAGGGGGGACCCAGGCUUUAAAGUGGGGGGGGGGGGCACGAGAGGGGGGAAGCCCAGUUUCUGCCGUGGGGCUUUUGUCUCUGGGUGUGGUGUGUGGGCAGCUCCCAGUGACUCACGUCUGACUUUUUCUGGGACGAGGCUGGCUCACCUGCACUCGCCCAGUGCUGAUGUUUCUGGAACGUGUGAGCCACUAAAGCGGAGCUGUUCUCCCCCACAGCAGCUCUGUGUUUUUCUCUGUUGUCCGGGGUGAAGCCUCAACGCCCUGGGCCCCGGCUUCUGAAUCUGUAGAAUGGGACAGAAGCCGCACAACUCAUCAGGGACAUAUGCGAAGUAUUCUGGGUGGUGAGAGCCUGAGCCUGCCCCCACGGUCCCGCCGCCUGCUCCCCUCAGGCCACAGGGCACGCUUGCUGUGCGCCGGCCUACAGGCAGUCUUGGUGAAGUCCUCAGCAGCUGCUCCCCCGCUGCUGCUGCUGCCGUCAGGUUACUUUCUCCCCACGGGACAGCUGCCAGCCUCCUCACGUUGCUGCGUGAGCUCAGAGCUGCCUCUGGUGCCUGCACCUGCCUUGCAAGAUGCCUGUUCUUCCUGCCCGAGAUGGGAGGUCAGCAGAUGUCCUCGGAGAUGGUGCUCCCCUCCGGUUCAUUGUGACAUGUGGAACAUGUGAGUGCCUGCUGGGACAAGUGCCCCAGGCGGAUGGGGGCUGUGGGCCCUGCAGCCCCACCUCCUGCUGACGGAGGCUCUGGAGCCAUACAAGCAGUGGGCAGGACUUUCCUCCAGGGGGUACCUGGUGGCCUGGCCACUUGGGGACAGGUAUCUGUCUGCAGUGUCCCUCCAGCAGCUCAGCUUUGUGCUUGCUGGGCUCUCUCCUCUGAGUCUGGAUAGGACUUGUCCCCUGAUCGUCUCAGGCUUAAAGAAGUGCUUUCCUGAGAGCUUGUGGGAAGUGGCAGGCCCUGGCUCCCCAGUGCAGCCUCCCGGGUCAGGUCAGUCCCCAGGCACGGCAGGCAGUUCCGUGAGGUGGUCGGCCGGCCUUCUCUCAGCUCCUGCGCAGCCACCAACUCCAAGAGACUCAAAAGGGCAAAGCUACAGAGAGUGGCACACAGAAAAUCUCCUUCCUCUGGUAUAAAGUAAAAGACUCUGGGGUGGGGGCUCAGGCCCUGGAACAUGUGGCAGAGGAGGACCUGGUGGGGGCUGUAUUGUUAUGUAGAAAACUGAGAAAUGUUAUGCAUGUACAAACUAUUGUAUUUUACUGUCAGUGGUAAACCAUUAAUCCCCCAAUAAAGAAAUUAAAAAAGAAAAAAGAAAAUCUCCUUCCCACCUCUUCAAAACCUCUGCAGUCCGCUGUGCCUGGCACCAAUUUUCAUCAGAUCGCAUUAUGGGUCCAGUGCUUCUCUCUGGAAAACAAACAAACAUACAUUAAGAAAAAAUAAAUAAAAAGCCACCUGAGAGGCGGCUCGGGAUAAGGUACUGGGUUACUCAAGGACAGGGCCCCAAAUUUGAUCCCUACAUCAUAUGUCUCAGAUGAAUGCUCUGGUUUUCUCUGUCUCUCAUGAAUGAAUAAAGGUUUUUAAAAAUAA